GUUCCAUUUGCGAUUGCGCAUCAACACCAAACGCUCCCUUAACCCACCCAACCCAAACCCCAAAUCCGAAACCGUCCUAUUCCACGUUCGAAUCAGGGGCAUCUCUGAACUGGAAAAAUCAGAUGCCAGCGAUUUGAGCGAUACACUGUGAAGAAGCUGCGUAGUGCGUUUCGCUCUUCCAAAUGGCGGUUUCCGAUAGUCCAAGCGGUGCCUCCACGCCGCCUCAACAGGAACAAGCCAACAAGUACGGUUUCACGAAGCCUCUAUCUCUCGCGGGUCCCACCGACGCUGAUCUCCACCGUAACAACGAAUUGGAGAGGUUCUUGCUCGAUUCGGGGCUUUACGAGAGCAAUGAUGAGUCCGCCGCGAGGAAGGAGGUUCUUCACCGCCUCGAUCAGAUUGUGAAGAGCUGGGUGAAGCAGUUGACGCGCCAACGUGGCUACACAGAUCAGAUGGUUGAGGAUGCAAACGCAGUCAUUUUCACUUUUGGUUCUUACCGACUAGGGGUUCAUGGACCUGGAGUUGACAUUGACACUUUGUGCAUUGGUCCUUCUUAUGUGAACCGAGAGGAAGAUUUCUUCAUCAUUUUGCAUAACAUUCUGGCUGAAAUGGAAGAAGUUUCUGAACUUCAACCAGUUCCUGAUGCACAUGUUCCUGUAAUGAAAUUCAAAUUCCAGGGAAUAUCUAUAGAUUUGCUGUAUGCAAGUAUAUCACUUUUGGUUGUGCCAGAAGACCUGGAUAUCUCUCAUGGUUCAGUGCUGUAUGAUGUUGAUGAACCAACUGUUCGAAGUCUUAAUGGCUGCCGUGUGGCAGAUCAAAUUCUUAAACUUGUUCCAAAUAUUGAGCACUUUCGAACUACACUGAGAUGCUUGAAGUUUUGGGCUAAAAGACGUGGUGUUUAUUCAAAUGUUACUGGAUUCCUUGGUGGUGUAAAUUGGGCUAUUUUAGUUGCUCGAAUAUGCCAGCUUUACCCUAAUGCAAUCCCUAGUAUGUUGGUUUCCCGGUUCUUCAGGGUCUAUACACAGUGGCGAUGGCCAAACCCUGUAAUGCUAUGCUCUAUUGAAGAGAAUGAACUGGGAUUCCCUAUAUGGGAUCCUCGUAGAAAUCCCCGAGAUAGAUUUCACACUAUGCCAAUAAUUACUCCUGCAUACCCUUGCAUGAAUUCAAGUUACAAUGUCUCAGCAAGUACUCUUCGUGUCAUGAUGGAACAGUUCCGCUAUGGCAAUAAGAUUUGUGAUGAAAUUGACCUCAAUAAAGCCCAGUGGAGCGCACUUUUUCAGCCUUAUAUCUUUUUUGAGGCAUACAAAAACUAUUUACAAGUGGACAUAGUUGCAUCGGACACUGAUGAUUUACUAGCAUGGAAGGGCUGGGUAGAAUCUCGAUUGAGGCUGCUUACCCUUAAGAUAGAGCGAGAUACAAAUGGUAUGCUGCAGUGCCAUCCUUAUCCACAUGAGUAUAUAGACACAUCGAAGCCAUGUGCUCAUUCUGCAUUUUUCAUGGGCUUGCAAAGGAAAGAGGGAGUAAGAGGUCAAGAAGGACAGCAAUUUGAUAUACGUGGAACGGUUGAUGAAUUUAGACAAGAAAUAAAUAUGUAUAUCUACUGGAAGCCUGGAAUGGAAAUUUUUGUUUCUCAUGUUCGUCGAAAGCAACUUCCUGCAUUUGUUUUUCCUGAUGGUUACAAACGCACUAGAAUGCCAAGACACAUAAGCCAUCCGACCGAAAAAACAGGUGAUGAUGCCACGAAGUGCUACUCUGGAUCUGGGCCAUCUGAAAGAUGCACCAAGAGGAAAAGUUACCCUGAAAUGGUGGAAAAGAAGCCAGACAAACCAGAUAAACGGGCAUCUAUUAGCCCACAGAGGUUAGAAAGUGUUUCUCCUGAAAGUUGUACUAGUAAAUCAGGUGGUACAGCUCAAAUGAGUAUUGAUAGUAUGGAAGGGGUUUGGGUAGCUGGUUCAACAACCAAUUAUGCUAACAGCAAUUGUGAAAUUAAGUCAUCUGAUGUGCUCCCAGGAAGUGGACUAAGCUCUGUCGUAGCUGACAUGCAGAUAAGUGAACCGGGCUUUGUUGACACCACACAUGAUAUGUUGAAACCGAGGUGUGUAGAAGUUCCUAAUGAGAAUGGAGUUGUCGAUGGGGACAAAGCUCAGGAUCUGGCUUUAGAUUGCUUGGAAAGUGAAGAAACCGAAUCUACUAACAAUUUUUCGAACUGUAAAGCGGGUGUCGUCGAUAUGGAUCAGCAACUAGACAAAGCAUGUAAUUUCAUCACAAGGGAUGAAUGCUCAGAUUAUGUACCAAAUGCCAGCUCCCAGAACCUCAGUUGCGAGGGUGAUGUUUGUGUGGCUGUUCCAGAUCAGUUCUGAAGAGAGUGGGUGUUUUCUUGGAAAUAGAGUAUUUCAAAAUAUCAGGGCUCAAGAAUAUAAGAUUUCAGACUCAGAAGUGUUGUAAAAUUGAAGAUGGGCUAGGUGGACGAGUUUGGACUGAAUCCCAUGAUGUUUGAGAGGGUUAAUGGCUGAAAUUCCUGUCACGCUGCUACCCUGUGCAUUGUUGGUGGCUGUUGCUGUGCUGAGAUCCUGUGAGCGGGACUAAGGCUGUAAUAGAACAGUGAGAAAAGAUACAACAAAUGAUGGCAGUGAAAGAGAUUGGGGUUUGGGGUAUAUGGCAUUGCGAUGAUCGUUUCUGUACAUAGAUGAACAGCAUGACGGAGACUCUUAAAUUGUGGUCUCGUCCUGUUGUGUGAAACAUGCGCUCAUCUCAUCUUCAGAGCUCUGAAUUGUCUCAUAAACCUUAACAUAUCUACUUGGAUUUUAAAGGAGUGGGAACUUUGUAUUUUGCUUGUGACGUAGAUGUGAUCGAUACGUUAUGUAAAUGUGAAAAAUGGCUACUUCGGCUAGGUUAUUUAGAAGAGAAAGUGGUAAAACAAAAAUAUAUUGGCGGCAGAAUGGGGGUAGUCUUCCUUGUUUAUCCUUUCUUCGAAGUUUCGGUGGGAGGUUCCUUCUGUUUAUUGCGUUUCGUUGGUCUUUCAAUUUAGUGAAAACACUUUAUCUUGUGAAAAUGGUUUCUUUCAUUAGUGCUCUUACAUGGCUUUCUUUUA